GCAUAGCUCAGUCGGUAUAGAACGAGACUCUUAAUCGCAGGGUCGUGGGUUUGAGCCCCACGUUGAGCA